UCUAGCAGACAAUACAUAAGUGUUCUUUUUAAAACAAACAAAAAAGGUGGUUUAGGUUUGCAAGGAAAGACAAUUAGGCAGGGUGAGGAGUGGAGUACAAGGUAGCUUCAAUUAAGGGUGUCAUUAAAACUUAAAAAACUAACAAUUAUUUAGUAUUGUGGUGUACUUUUUGAUGUUAAUGCAUCACCUAGGAUAAUGUGCUUAUGUGCAUGCAUCGGGGUUGUUUGGAGUUUUUUUGUUUGUUUGUUUUUUUCUCUUUUUUUAAUGCAAAAAGCUUUAUUGUUUCCAUUUGGCCCAAGGCUGAGGAGAAGGCUCUAGAGUGAUUAAAAAGCUGCCAAGGACUGCAGAGAGGAGCUUCGGGGAGAAGCUCUGACACCACAGGGGCUCCUCAAAGGCCACUGGGCUUCUGCCUCUACUUGUGCUUGUUGUUUAGUCACUAAGCCGUGUCUGACUCUUUUGCAAGCCCAUAGAUCAUAGCCUGCCUGGGCCAUCUGACCAUGGCAUUCUCCAGGCAAGAAGACUAGAGUGGUUGUCAUUUCCUUCUCCAGGGGAUCUUCUCCACCCAGAAAUCGAACCCUUAUCUCUUGCACUGCAGGCUGAUUCUUGACCACUGAGCCACCUGGGAAGCCCAGUUGUGUUUGAGGUUGAGCCUUUCGAAGAGGUACCCGCCCAACCCCACCUGGUCAGGUUUUCAGGUGGUCACCAUCUCCUUGAUGAAUUUCAGCUGCUCCUCCUGGGGGCGGCUCUCCCGGAAGCCACGGAAGUGCAUCUCCGCACACAGAACCCCGGCCGGCAAUGCAGGCCCACAUGGCCCUGGUUCAGGUUUUUCUCCGUGAAAAUGAAGGCUUUCCCAGCAUCCUGGGUUUUAUCCUGCUCAUGUUGAGACAACCUUCUGCUUGUCCUGGAAGAGAGUGAGGUCACCUCGCUGGUUUUGCACUUUUCAAGAAAUGCUCUUGGAGCCCUCGUGCUUCUCCUCGGCCAGUUAGCUGAAAAAAUGGCCUACAUGCUCGUGAACCAUCGAAGUGGAAAUAGAAGCGUGGAGAGAGGCAAUGAUGCUGCAUGUGAUACAGAAUGCAAAUUAUGAAAGGAAACAUGGAACACUGGUCAAGCAAAAUGUAUUGCUCUGCCUGCAAUUUCCCCUUCUCUACUUCAGAUAUUAAAAACUAAUUCUCUCAGUUA